rnacentral:rRNA from 1 species
UACAGAGGUCUCAAGCGUUGUUCGGAUUCAUUGGGCGUAAAGGGUGCGUAGGCGGCGCGGUAAGUCGGGGUGUGGAAAUCUCGGAGCUUUAACUCCGAAACUGCAUUCGAUACUGCCGUGCUUGAGGACUGGAGAGGAGACUGGAAUUCAUGGUGUAGCAGUGAAAUGCGUAGAGAUCAUGAGGAAGACCAGUGGCGAAGGCGGGUCUCUGGACAGUUCCUGACACUGAGACACGAAGGCCAGGGGAGCAAACGGG